AUACCAUACUUUACUGCCAAAUGUUAACAAGAGAAACGUUUCGUUCCCUGUACUGUUACCGGAUUUCUGAUUUCUAAAGAUGAACUCGAAAGCCUUGCUUAUCCUGCUGUGUCUGUUCUCGCUGAUGAUUGCAGAAUAUUCUGUCCAAGGCAUAAAUCGUUGCAGAACUCGUAUUGGGUGCAGAUCAUGCAGAAUACGAUGCAUGAUCAGGAAAUAUCGGACUGGAUCCUGCAAAUACACACGUUCUUGCCCAAGAAGAAUGAGAUAUAAGUGUAGAUGUUUCGGGAAACGUGGUGGUUGAUGUAAAAAAAAAUGUAUCAAUCCAUGCAAUAAACCGAAAAUAAUGCAGAUA